UGUGCCUGAAUGAAGACAGAAACAACAGGAUUUCCUACAAGGAGUGUGGAUGACGCAUCUCUCUAUGUAGCCAGAGCUCUUCAAGUGCAGUCUGUCAGGACAAGAAGAGGAUUCUUUGUUCAUUUCAUGAAGUUACUGAUUACUUCCUUUCCUGGCUUCGUGUUAGGUGGCAUUGUAACCAUUACAAUGCAGUAUUUGAGGCCAUGCCCUCAGGAACUUAUAGUAAGGAUCCAAUGGAGCAAGAUUAUAGGUGAGCAAACUGACCUUUUUAAUGGGUCUGUGACUUGAAUCCAGGUCUGUCUGACUCUAAUCUGG
rnacentral:lncRNA from 1 species